rnacentral:tRNA from 1 species
ACCUGGCUGGUUCAGUCAGUAGAACAUGUGACUCUUGAUUCCAGAGUCAUGAGCUCAAGCCCCAUGUUGGGUG